UCACCAGUUUCCAGAAAGACUGGUGGACUCAGAUUCCAGAUCCUGUGUCUGAGGCUGUGUGGAGCAGUAAGUAGACUACACUGUUCACAAAGAGCUGGUUUCUAGUUCCAGUUUUCUCAGGAUUCACAUGAGGUUGGACUAUUUGGGGUGGAGGUGGGGGGAAGAAAUCUUUGUAUGCCUUAAUGCUCUCAUCUGUAAAGCAAGGCAUCCAAAUCACAUAAAUUAUGAAUUACCUUUCAUUUUUAUAAUUCUGCAUCCCACAAUUGAAGUUCAUUGGUAGGAAUCAGUAAUUUCAUAUUUUGCCUCAUUUCCUUAAAAUCCACAUUCCUCGCAGUAAGUUUACCCACACUAGGGC
rnacentral:lncRNA from 1 species